rnacentral:piRNA from 1 species
UAGGAUAAUAAUAGGAUGAUA